rnacentral:rRNA from 1 species
AUUGAACGCUGGCGGCAUGCCUUACACAUGCAAGUCGAACGGCAGCACGGGGCAACCUGGUGGCGAGUGGCGAACGGGUGAGUAAUGCAUCGGAACGUACCUUUCAGUGGGGGAUAACGUAGCGAAAGUUACGCUAAUACCGCAUAUUCUGUGAGCAGGAAAGCAGGGGAUCGCAAGACCUUGCGCUGAUUGAGCGGCCGAUGUCAGAUUAGCUAGUUGGUAAGGUAAAGGCUCACCAAGGCGACGAUCUGUAGCGGGUCUGAGAGGAUGAUCCGCCACACUGGAACUGAGACACGGUCCAGACUCCUACGGGAGGCAGCAGUGGGGAAUUUUGGACAAUGGGGGCAACCCUGAUCCAGCCAUGCCGCGUGAGUGAAGAAGGCCUUCGGGUUGUAAAGCUCUUUCGGCCGGGAAGAAAUCGCACGGGCUAAUACCCUGUGUGGAUGACGGCACCGGAAUAAGAAGCACCGGCUAACUACGUGCCAGCAGCCGCGGUAAAAC